rnacentral:rRNA from 1 species
UAAUACGGAAGGGGCAAGCGUUGUUCGGAAUUAUUGGGCGUAAAGGGCGCGUAGGCGGCUCCAUAUGUCGGCGGUGAAAGCAUACAGCUCAACUGUAUUGAGCCGCGGAAACUGUGGGGCUUGAGGCUGGGAGGGGCUGGUGGAAUUCCCUGUGUAGCGGUGAAAUGCGUAGAGAUGGGGGAGAACACUUGUGGCGAAGGCGGCCAGCUGGACCAGUUCUGACGCUGAGGCGCGAAAGCGUGGGGAGCAAACAGGAUUAGAUACCCUGGUAGUCCACGCUGUAAACGAUGGGCACUAGGUGUCGGCGGUCUUUAAUCCGUCGGUGCCGGCGCUAACGCAGUAAGUGCCCCGCCUGGGGAGUACGGUCGCAAGGCUG